rfam:Canis lupus familiaris chromosome 8, whole genome shotgun sequence.
UGGUGACCUGAGGCUCCCUGGCUGUCACUCUGUCCCAGCCCCUCCUGGCCUGCAGGGCACAGGCUGAGUCACAGUAAAUUCUGUGGGGUCCUGACCC